AUUGAACGCUGGCGGCAGGCCUAACACAUGCAAGUCGAGCGGAGCGGCGGACGGGUGAGUAAUGCCUAGGAAUCUGCCUGGUAGUGGGGGAGAACGUCCGGAAACGGGCGCUAAUACCGAAUACUAUCAGAUGAGGCUAGGUCGGAUUAGCUAGUGGGUGGGGUAAAGGCCUACCAAGGCGACGAUCCGUAACUGGUCUGAGAGGAUGAUCAGUAACGCUGGAAAGUAGACACGGUCCAGACUCCUACGGGAGGCAGCAGUGGGGAAUAUUGGACAAUGGGCGAAAGCCUGAUCCAGCCAUGCCUCUUGUGUGAAGCAGGUCUUCGGAUUGUAAAGCACUUUAAGUUGGGAGGCGUUACCAACAGAAUAAGCACCGGCUAACUUCGUGCCAGCAGCCGCGGUAAUUC
rnacentral:rRNA from 1 species